rnacentral:rRNA from 1 species
GACGAACGCUGGCGGCGUGCUUAACACAUGCAAGUCGAACGGAAAGGCCCUGCUUUUGUGGGGUUCUCGAGUGGCGAACGCGUGUGUAUCACGUGUGUAACCUCCCCUUGACUUUGGGAUAACUUCUGGAAACUUCGGCUAAUACCCGAUAUGAUCUCCUGCUGCUUGUUGGUCGUUGGUAAUUUUCGGCUGUUGGGGAUGGUCUCGCUGCUUAUGAGCUUCUUUGUGGGGUAGUGGCUUACCAAGGCUUUGACGGGUAGCCGGCCUGAGAGGGUGAACAGGGACAAGGGGACUAAGGUAGGGCCCAGAAGCGAACGGGAGGCAGCAGUGGGGAAUAUUACAGAAUGGGGGGAAGCGUGAUGCAAAAACGCCGGGUGCGGAAUGACGGCUUACGGGUUGUAAACAGCUUUGGAAUGAGACGAAGCGUGAGUGACGGUAAUGGGUAAAGAAGCACCGGCUAACUACGUG